rnacentral:sRNA from 1 species
UGCAAAGCAGGAGAGGAGUUAGGUCCAGACAGGACUUGCCAGCUUUGUCCAGAAGGUACUUUUAGAGGAGAACAAAGCUCAAGUCCUUUCUGUAUUCCUUGUAUUAGUGAGUGGACCACUGCAGGCCCUGGCGCAGUUAGUGAUAGACAGUGUAAUGUUGCUCAGUGUCCAAAGGGUCAGUAUAAAAACAUAAAAGAACAGAGUUGUCUGCCUUGUCCUAAAGGAACAUACCAGCCAGUCCCUGGGGAGAAGUCUUGCCUACUUUGCGUUCAAGGUCAAACUACAGAGUCUGAAGGUGCUGACAGGAAAGAGUCGUGUAUCAAGACAAAUGUCUCAAACAACGAGUAUGCUUGUGAGAAUAUUUGCAAGACAGAGAGACCUUGUGAAAAUGAAAGUAGCUUCAAUCAAUGUUCCUGUCAGACUGAAAUAUGCAGACAGACAUGUAAG